GCAGCAGCGCCGCCUGCAGGUGGAAGCAGAGGGACGCGCCGGCUGACGAAGCGCGAGCUGAGGGGCAUAAUCGCGCUGAAGCCGGAGCCGUUCCCGGAGGACGACUACCUGGACGGCCUGGCGGGGUCCUUCCCGCCAGAGUGGAUCGAGCAGAAGAAGCGGGAGCACGCGGAGGACGCGGCCUCCUUGGGGAAGAUGGACGAGGAGUACGAGGCGUUCCGGCAGAAGGUGAUCAAUGGGGUCAAGGAGAAGGGCUCCUUCGAGGUCGACGUGAACUUCCUCGCCGGCGAGGGGAGGACCAAGGGAUACGUCAGUAAACGAUUUGCCAGCAUGGACCCGAGUGAAAUCGCUCGCCGUUUCUCUACCCGUGAGGAAGAGCAAGGUGAUGGUUACAAUGCCUACGUUCGUGACGAGGAGGAUGCUCUAGUCAGCGAUGGAGACGAUGCUGAUUCUCAACAAGGAGAUGAUGAUGAUGGGGCCGAUUGA
rnacentral:rRNA from 1 species